AUUGAACGCUGGCGGCAGGCCUAACACAUGCAAGUCGAACGAGUGGCGGACGGGUGAGUAAUGUCUGGGAAACUGCCCGAUGGAGGGGGAUAACUACUGGAAACGGUAGCUAAUACCGCAUACCAUCGGAUGUGCCCAGAUGGGAUUAGCUAGUAGGGGGGGUAACGGCUCACCUAGGCGACGCUCACUAGCUGGUCUGAGCGGAUGACCCGCCACACGUGAACUGAGACACGGUCCCGCCUCCCACGGGAGGCAUCAGUGGGUAAUAUUUCACAAUGGGCGCAAGCCUGAUGCAGCCAUGCCGCGUGUAUGAAGAAGGCCUUCGGGUUGUAAAGUACUUUCAGCGGGGAGGCGUUACCCGCAGAAGAAGCACCGGCUAACUCCGUGCCAGCAGCCGCGGUAAUAC
rnacentral:rRNA from 1 species